rnacentral:rRNA from 1 species
UACGGAGGGAGCUAGCGUUAUUCGGAAUUACUGGGCGUAAAGCGCGCGUAGGCGGCUUUGUAAGUUAGAGGUGAAAGCCCGGAGCUCAACUCCGGAAUUGCCUUUAAGACUGCAUCGCUAGAAUCAUGGAGAGGUUAGUGGAAUUCCGAGUGUAGAGGUGAAAUUCGUAGAUAUUCGGAAGAACACCAGUGGCGAAGGCGGCUCACUGGCCCGGUACUGACGCUGAGGCGCGAAAGCGUGGGGAGCAAACAGGG